GUGCCAGCCGCCGCGGUAAUACGGAGGGUGCAAACGUUGCUCGGAAUCAUUGGGCGUAAAGCGCACGUAGGCGGUUCGUUAAGUCGGGUGUGAAAGCCCCAGGCUUAACCGGAAAAGUGCCCUUGAUACUGAUGAGCUCGAGGGAGGUAGGGGCAUGUGGAACUUCUGGUGGAGCGGUGAAAUGCGUUGAUAUCAGAAGGAACGCCGGUGGCGAAAGCGACGUGCUGGACCUCUUCUGACGCUGAGGCGCGAAAGCUAGGGGAGCAAACGGGAUUAGAUACCCCGGUAGUCCUAGCCCUAAACGAUGGGUACUAGGUUGUAGACUUGACAUGGGUUUACAGUCGAAGCAAAAGUGUUAAGUACCCCGCCUGGGGAGUAUGGUCGCAAGGCUGAAACUCAAAGGAAUUGACGGGGGCUCACACAAGCGGUGGAGCAUGUGGCUUAAUUCGAGGCUACGCGAAGAACCUUAUCCUGGGCUUGACAUGUGCGAAAGCG
rnacentral:rRNA from 1 species